CGGCUCCACCCCACUUCACAGCGAGGCUUCAACGCUCACCAAGGUACCUUCCUACUCCUGACCGGUUAACAGCAAUCCUUCCCAGUCAGGUUCUAGUAUAGGUCCUUCGUUCUAGCGCCAUCCAUUUUCAGGGCUGGUUGAUUCGGCAGGUGAGUUGUUACACACUCCUUAGCGGAUUCCAACUUCCAUGGCCACCGUCCUGCUGUCUAUAUCAACCAACACCUUUCAUGGUGUCUCAUGAACGAAGAGUUAGGCACCUUAACUAGAAGUUAGGUUCAUCCCUCAGCACCGGUUCUGCUUACCAAAAACGGCCCACUAGUUGCACAUAUAAACUUCCAUCUCCAAUUAAGAGAGACAGAACAUUCCCAUUUAAAGUUUGAGAGUAAGCUGAGGACAUUUCGUCCCCAUUACUUCCAAUCAUUCGCUUUACCGGAAAUAAAUACAACAACGUGCAACAGCUAUCCUGAGGGAAACUUCGGAAGGAACCAGCUACUAGAUGGCUCGAUUAGUCUUUCGCCCCUAUGCUCAGAUCCAACGAUCGAUUUGCACGUCAGAAUCGUUACGGUCUUCCACCAGAGUUUCCCCUGGCUUCAACCUCUCCAAGCAUAGUUCGCCAUCUUUCGGGUUUCAGCAUAUGCGCUCAAACGCCGCCCCAAUGUAAGACACAGCAGGACGGGUCGGUAUUGCGCCGGGCUCAACAAGUUGUGAGGAUCCGGAUCAUACCAAUGAACACAUGAGAGUGAACUCUUGCUUUCACUACGCCUUUAGGUUUAGUAAAAAACCCAAUGACUCGCGCACAUGCUGAGCUCCUCGGUCCGUGUUUCAAGACGGGUCGGUUGGGUGACCUACUUUAACACCAGAGACUAUCGACGUAAAGUUUACAGCCGACACCGACCGCCCGAGAAGUGACAUCUCCUUGCGGAGUCGCCUCCUCAACGAACAGCCAGUUAUCAAACCAACAAAGCGCCUGUAGGGCUUACGUCGCAGCUAACACACUGCACUAGCAGACCAAUGCAAGGAGUAUAUCACAACACCCGAGGGCAUCGUUACCACCACCUCACGACAGUCCGCCUGCGCAGCGGUCCUGGUGCAGACCAAGCGGAAGUGCACCCAGCCAAGCCGCAGAUAACGCGCCGCCGAUGAAAACUAAGAAUCAUUCGAACAACACGCCACCGCAACCCGGUCAGGCUGAAUCCACAAGGACUUUUUCGGCCCCAUCCGUUUACCUCUAGACGGUUUCACGUACUAUUGAACUCUCUCUUCAAAGUUCUUUUCAACUUUCCCUCACGGUACUUGUUGACUAUCGGUCUAGUGCAUAGUAUUUAGCCUUAGGAGGAGUUUACCUCCCACUUUGGGCUGCAAUCUCAAACAACCCGACUCCAAGAACAGCCUAGGAGAAGCGAAUCCAAUCCGUACGGGACUUACACCCUCUUUGGACCUAAAGUCACAAUCAAGUGAACUUCAGAAAGGACUCGCGACCCAAAGGCCGUUCUAUACCCCACAAUUCCCAACGGCGCAAGGCCGAGGGAUUCAGGGCUGGGCUCUUCCCUCUUCACUCGCAGUUA
rnacentral:rRNA from 1 species